UGGCUCUAAGGAAAGAUGCAUUUUGGGUUC
rnacentral:piRNA from 1 species